rnacentral:rRNA from 1 species
CCAGCAGCCGCGGUAAUUCCAGCUCCAAUAGCGUAUAUUAAAAUUGUUGCAGUUAAAAAGCUCGUAGUUGAAUUUCUGCUGCAUUGCAUCUUCUUUUUGAUGAGUUGGUGUAUUGUGGCUUAUUUCGGAUGAUACUUGUAUUAUCCGGAUGAUUACUUUGAGAAAAUUAGAGUGCUCAAAGCAGGCUUUUGCCUUGAAUAGUUUAGCAUGGAAUAAUAAAGUAGGACUUUGGUUCUAUUUUGUUGGUUUUAGGUACCAAAGUAAUGGUUAAUAGGAACAGUUGGGGGCAUUCGUAUUUAACUGUCAGAGGUGAAAUUCUUAGAUUUGUUAAAGACGAACUACU